rnacentral:rRNA from 1 species
UACGUAAGGGGCGAGCGUUGCUCGGAAUUACUGGGCGUAAAGGGCUUGUAGGCGGCCAUAUAAGUCGAAUGUAAAAAACCGGGGCUCAACCCCGGAGCUGCGUUCGAAACUGUGCGGCUUGAGUCUGGUGGAGGGUGAUGGAAUUCCCGGUGUAGCGGUGAAAUGCGUAGAUAUCGGGAAGAACACCGAAGGCUAAAGCAGUCAUCCAUGCCAAGACUGACGCUGAGGAGCGAAAGCAUGGGUAU